rnacentral:rRNA from 1 species
UACGGGGGGGGCAAGCGUUGUUCGGAAUUACUGGGCGUAAAGGGCUCGUAGGCGGCCAACUAAGUCGGAUGUGAAAUCCCCAGGCUUAACCUGGGAACUGCAUCCGAUACUGGAUGGCUUGAAUCCGGGAGAGGGAUGCAGAAUUCCAGGUGUAGCGGUGAAAUGCGCAGAUAUCAGGAGGAACACCGGUGGCGAAGGCGGAUCUCUGGGCCAUUACUGACGCUGAGGAGCGAAAGCGUGGGGAGCGAACAGG